rnacentral:rRNA from 1 species
CCUACGGGAGGCAGCAGUGAGGAAUAUUGGUCAAUGGUCGUAAGCCUGAACCAGCCAAGUCGCGUGAGGGAUGAAGGUUCUAUGGAUCGUAAACCUCUUUUAUCAGGGAACAAAGACUGGGACGUGUCCUGUUUUGUAUGUACCUUAUGAAUAAGCAUCGGCUAACUCCGUGCCAGCAGCCGCGGUAAUACGGAGGAUCCGAGCGUUAUCCGGAUUUAUUGGGUUUAAAGGGUGCGUAGGCGGCCUUUUAAGUCAGCGGUGAAAGGCUGUGGCUCAACCAGAGAAUUGCCGUUGAAACUGGGAGGCUUGAGUAUGUGUGAGGCAGGCGGAAUGCGUGGUGUAGCGGUGAAAUGCUUAGAUAUCGCGCAGAACCCCGAUUGCGAAGGCAGCCUGCC